AUUGAACGCUGGCGGCAUGCCUUAUACAUGCAAGUCGAACGGUAACAGCACUUCGGUGGCUGACGAGUGGCGAACGGGUGAGUAAUACAUCGGAACGUGCCCGAGAGUGGGGGAUAACGCAGCGAAAGCUGUGCUAAUACCGCAUACGAUCUACGGAUGAAAGCAGGGGAUUCGCAAGGACCUUGCGGCUCAUGGAGCGGCCGAUGGCAGAUUAGGUAGUUGGUGGGGAUAAAAGCUUACCCAAGCCGACGAUCUGUAGCUGGUCUGAGAGGACGGACCAGCCACACUGGGACUGAGACACGGCCCAGACUCCUACGGGAGGCAGCAGUGGGGAAUUUUGGACAA
rnacentral:rRNA from 1 species